UACGUAGGGGGCAAGCGUUGUCCGGAUUUAUUGGGCCUAAAGCAUCCGUAGCCGGUUCUACAAGUCUUCCGUUAAAUCCACCUGCUUAACAGAUGGGCUGCGGAGGAUACUAUGGAGCUAGGAGGCGGGAGAGGCAAGCGGUACUUAGUGGGUAGGGGUAAAAUCCGUUGAUCCAUUGAAGACCACCAGUGGCGAAGGCGGCUUGCCAGAACGCACUCGACGGUGAGGGAUGAAAGCUGGGGGAGCAAACCGG
rnacentral:rRNA from 1 species